AGAGUUUGAUCCUGGCUCAGAACGAACGCUGGCGGCAGGCUUAACACAUGCAAGUUGAACGGGAUUUGUAUGGUGCUUGCACCAUGUAAUGAGAGUAGCGCACUGGUGAGUAACACGUGGGAACAUACCUUGAAGUGGGGGACAACAGUUGGAAACGACUGCUAAUACCGCAUAAUCCCUGAGGGGGAAAGAUUUAUCGCUUUAAGAUUGGCCCGCGGAAGAUUAGGUAGUUGGUGGGGUAAAGGCCUACCAAGCCGACGAUCUAUAGCUGGUCUGAGAGGACGAACAGCCACAUUGGAACUGAGACACGGUCCAGACUCCUACGGGAGGCAGCAGUGAGGAAUAUUGGGCAAUGGAGGAAACUCUGACCCAGCCAUGCCGCGUGAGUGAAGAAGGUUUUCGAAUUGUAAAGCUCUUUCGGAUGGGACGAUGAUGACGGUACCAUCUAAAGAAGCCCCGGCAAACUUCGUGCCAGCAGCCGCGGUAAUACGAAGGGGGCAAGCGUUGUUCGGAAUUACUGGGCGUAAAGGGUGUGUAGGCGGAUUUGUAAGAUAGUGGUGAAAUACCUGAGCUCAACUUAGGAAUUGCCAUUAUAACUAUAGAUCUGGAGUGACAGAGAGGAUAUUGGAAUACCCAGUGUAGAGGUGAAAUUCGUAGAUAUUGGGUAGAACACCAGUGGCGAAGGCGAGUAUCUGGCUGUCAACUGACGCUGAGGCACGAAAGCAUGGGGAUCAAACAGGAUUAGAUACCCUGGUAGUCCAUGCUGUAAACGAUGAAUGCUAGUUGUCGGCAAAAGCCGGUGACGCAGUUAACGCGAUAAGCAUUCCGCCUGGGGAGUACGGUCGCAAGAUUAAAACUCAAAGGAAUUGACGGGGACCCGCACAAGCGGUGGAUGAUGUGGAUUAAUUCGAUGCAACGCGAAAAACCUUACCUAGCCUUGACAUGUCAGGAACGCUCCGGAGAUGGGGCGGUGCCCGCAAGGGAACCUGAGCACAGGUGCUGCAUGGCUGUCGUCAGCUCGUGUCGUGAGAUGUUGGGUUAAGUCCCGCAACGAGCGCAACCCCUGUUGCCAGUUGCCAGCAUUAAGUUGGGGACUCUGGCGAGACUGCCGGUGACAAGCCGGAGGAAGGCGGGGAUGACGUCAAAUCAUCAUGCCCCUUAUGACCUGGGCUACACACGUGCUACAAUGGACAGAGCAGAGGGAAGCGAAGCCGCGAGGUGGAGCGAAACCCAGAAAACUGUUCUCAGUUCGGACUGCAGUCUGCAACUCGACUGCACGAAGUUGGAAUCGCUAGUAAUCGCGAAUCAGCAUGUCGCGGUGAAUACGUUCUCGGGCCUUGUACACACCGCCCGUCACACCAUGAGAGUCGGUAACACCCGAAGCCGGUGGCCUAACCGCAAGGAAGGAGCUGUCUAAGGUGGGACUGAUGAUUGGGGUGAAGUCGUAACAAGGUAUCCCUACGGGAACGUGGGGAUG
rnacentral:rRNA from 1 species